rnacentral:rRNA from 1 species
GGAUUGCAGUCUGCAACUCGACUGCAUGAAGCUGGAAUCGCUAGUAAUCGCGGAUCAGAAUGCCGCGGUGAAUACGUUCCCGGGUCUUGUACACACCGCCCGUCACACCAUGGGAGUCGGAUAUGCCCGAAGUCAGUGACCCAACCGCAAGGAGGGAGCUGCCGAAGGUGGAGCCGAUGACUGGGGUGAAGUCGUAACAAGGUACC